GUCAAGCGACUAAGCGCAUACGGUGGAUGCCUUGGCAGUCAGAGGCGAUGAAAGACGUGGUAGCCUGCGAUAAGCUUCGGGGAGUCGGCAAACAGACUUUGAUCCGGAGAUCUCUGAAUGGGGGAACCCAGCCAUCAUAAGAUGGUUAUCUUGUACUGAAUACAUAGGUGCAAGAGGCGAACCAGGGGAACUGAAACAUCUAAGUACCCUGAGGAAAAGAAAUCAACCGAGAUUCCCUUAGUAGUGGCGAGCGAACGGGGACUAGCCCUUAAGUGGCUUUGAGAUUAGCGGAACGCUCUGGAAAGUGCGGCCAUAGUGGGUGAUAGCCCUGUACGCGAAAAUCUCUUAGUCAUGAAAUCGAGUAGGACGGAGCACGAGAAACUUUGUCUGAAUAUGGGGGGACCAUCCUCCAAGGCUAAAUACUACUGACUGACCGAUAGUGAACUAGUACCGUGAGGGAAAGGCGAAAAGAACCCCGGAGAGGGGAGUGAAAUAGAUCCUGAAACCGUAUGCGUACAAGCAGUAGGAGCAGACUUGUUCUGUGACUGCGUACCUUUUGUAUAAUGGGUCAGCGACUUAAUGUCAGUAGCGAGCUUAACCGUUUAGGGGAGGCGUAGGGAAACCGAGUCUUAAUAGGGCGAAUUAGUUGCUGGCAUUAGACCCGAAACCCGGUGAUCUAUCCAUGGCCAGGUUGAAGAUGCCGUAACAGGCAUUGGAGGACCGAACCCACAAAUUUUGAAAAAUUUGGGGAUGAGCUGUGGAUCGGAGUGAAAGGCUAAUCAAACCGGGAGAUAGCUGGUUCUCCUCGAAAUCUAUUUAGGUAGAGCGUCAUGUCUUACCCGCGGGGGUAGAGCACUGUUUGGGCUAGGGGGUCAUCCCGACUUACCAACCCCAUGCAAACUCCGAAUACCGCGGA
rnacentral:rRNA from 13 species